CAGUCGCCGCGGUAAUACGGAGGGUGCUAGCGUUGUUCGGAAUCACUGGGCGUAAAGGGCGCGUAGGCGGCCUGUUAAGUCGGAUGUGAAAGCCCGGGGCUCAACCCCGGAACUGCAUCCGAGACUGGCAGGCUUGAGACCGGGAGAGGAGGGUGGAAUAUCCAGUGUAGAGGUGAAAUUCGUAGAUAUUGGAUGGAACACCGGUGGCGAAAGCGGCUCUCUGGCCCGGAUCUGACGCUGAGGCGCGAAAGCGUGGGGAGCAAACAGGAUUAGAUACCCCAGUAGUCCCUGUCUCUUAUAA
rnacentral:rRNA from 1 species